GGAUGACGCUGGCGGUAUGUUUAACACAUGCAAGCUGGACGUUUUUAUGAAAAUAGAAAAGUAACGGACGGGUGAGUAAUUGUAUGAGAAUCAACGCUUAAGUAAGGAAUAACAUGUGGAAACAUAUGCUAAUACCUUGUAUCGCAGUUAUUGUGAAAGACAUUCGCUUAGGCAUGAGCUCAUAUUUGAUUAGCUUGUUGGUGGGGUAAUAGCUUACCAAGGCUUUGAUCAAUAGCUAAUUUGAGAGGAUGAUUAGCCACAUUGGGACUGAGACACGGAACAGACUCCUACGGGAGGCAGCAGUGAGGAAUAUUCCGCAAUGGGUGAAAGCCUGACGGAGCAAUACCGCGUGGAGGAAGAAGGCCUUUGGGUUGUAAUCUCCUUUUCUCAAUGAAGAAUCUAUGACGGGUAAUUGAGGAAUAAGCAUCGGCUAACUUCGUGCCAGCAGCCGCGGUAAUACGGGGGAUGCAAGCGUUAUCCGGAAUUAUUGGGCUUAAAGCGUUUGUAGGCGGCUUAAUGUGUUUGGUGUUAAAUCUUGAAGCUUAACUUCAUUCUUGCAUUGAAAACUAUUAGGCUUGAAUAUUAUAGGGGUAAAGGGAAUUCUUAGUGUAGCGGUGAAAUGCAUAGAUAUUAGGAAGAACACCGAUGGCGAAAGCACUUUACUAGGUUAAUUAUUGACGCUGAGAAACGAGAGCUAAGGGAGCGAAUUGGAUUAGAUACCCAAGUAGUCUUAGCAGUAAAUGGUGGCAAUUAAGUGGAGCAAUACUGUUCUGCUGUAGUGAAAACGUUAAAUUGCCCGCCUGGGGAGUAUGCUUGCAAAAGUGAAACUCAAAGGAAUUGACGGGGGCUCGCACAAGCGGUGGAGCAUGUGGUUUAAUUCGAAGAUACGCGAAGAAUCUUACCUGGGCUUGACAUGUUAGGAAAUUUUUAAAAAGAAAAUGUGCCCAAUGGAACCUAAACACAGGUGGUGCAUGGCUGUCGUCAGCUCGUGUUGUGAAAUGUUGGGUUAAGUCCUAUAACGAGCGCAACCCUCUUUUUUAGUUAUUUUUUUUAGUUCUAAAAAUACUGCCAACUAUAAGUUGGAGGAAGGUGAGGAUGAGGUCAAGUCAUCAUGCCCCUUAUGUCCAGGGCUACACACGUGCUACAAUGUUUAAAACAAUGAGUUGCCAACCUGCAAAGGUGAGCUAAUCUCUUAAAUAUAAACUAAGUUCGGAUUGUAGGCUGCAACUCGCCUGCAUGAAGUUGGAAUCGCUAGUAAUCGCCAAUCAGAAUGUGGCGGUGAAUACGUUCUCAGGCCUUGUACACACCGCCCGUCACGUCCAGAAAGCUGGCUGUACUUGAAGAGAUUUUUUAUUUUUAAAGUAUAAUUAGUGAUUUCGACCAAGUCGUAACAAGGUAGCCGU
rnacentral:rRNA from 1 species